GCAUUAAUGGGGUAGUGGUAACCUGGGUCGUUGCCAUGUAGAGAGACUGUACUGUUUCGACCCGCCGGGGGUUCGAUUCCCCCUUAAUGCA